CCCGGGUGGCAGCAGUAGGGAAUCUUCCACAAUGGACGAAAGUCUGAUGGAGCAACGCCGCGUGAGUGAAGAAGGGUUUCGGCUCGUAAAGCUCUGUUGGUAGUGAAGAAAGAUAGAGGUAGUAACUGGCCUUUAUUUGACGGUAAUUACUUAGAAAGUCACGGCUAACUACGUGCCAGCAGCCGCGGUAAUACGUAGGUGGCAAGCGUUGUCCGGAUUUAUUGGGCGUAAAGCGAGUGCAGGCGGUUCAAUAAGUCUGAUGUGAAAGCCUUCGGCUCAACCGGAGAAUUGCAUCAGAAACUGUUGAACUGGAGUGUGUGAGAGGAUAGUGGAAUUCCAGGUGUAGGAGUGAAAUCCGUAGAUAUCUGGAGGAACAUCAGUGGCGAAGGCGACUAUCUGGCACAUAACUGACGCUGAGGAGCGAAAGCGUGGGUAGCAAACAGGAUUAGAUACCCGAGUAGUC
rnacentral:rRNA from 1 species